AAACCGUUUAGGGGUAAACCUGAAAAACCCGAAAGGUCGAAGGGUGAAAUUCAUUCGCGUUUCGACGUUGGCGAGGAGCGGAGUUGAGUGACGGAAAUAUGUUCGCAUGUUUUUGCACCCUUUGUUCUCUCGAACCGAUGACGAACGCGUGCACUUUUCUCCUGGUAGGACGUCGCGAUCCGUUGGGUGUCGGUCUACGGCAUGCGGUGGAGCCCGUUCAUUAUUUAUUGAUGAAUGGACCUGCAUUGUUCCCGGCCGACUCGCUCGACGGUAUUCGAAAGGUUUGAGGCCGCUCGACUUGGAGCGUUCGACUCGCAGCAAGCGCGCCAGAUGCCGUUGGUGAUCGGACCUAGUGCCGAUUCUGACCUCUGGUGGCUGUUGGCUACGAUGUUCUCGAACAGACCUCACGACCGAUCUGCGACGCUAUAGCUUUGGGUACUUUCAGGA
rnacentral:rRNA from 1 species